ensembl:lncRNA
UAAAACUACAUCCUUGAAACCUACACACUCCAAAGCCAUGAAAGCGAACACCCACAGAAAAUGAUAGCAUUUGAGAGCAUUUCUGAUUGGCUAAAAGUGGGUGGGCUGUUCCCCUGACCCAUUUUUGCGGUUUUUGAGUCUAGGGCUAUAAGAGAGACAGUUGUAAUUGCUCAGGACUUCUGAGCGGUUUUUAGUUAAAUAGGUCUGUGGUUAACACAAGGUCAAGAAAUUUUACGCUAUGACUUAAAAUACAUCAGUAAGAUACACUGUGACGUUUUAAGCUUUAACUCGUCCUGAAAGAGGCGGUUGACUAAAGGAGAACAGAGUGGUCCAGAACAUUAAAUGUCAUCACGUCAAACAGGAUUUUGCCCCAAAGGUUCUGUAUUUGUCUUAUCUCAUGCGAAGUCUGUCAACAUGAGAAAACCUGAGGUCUUCAUGCUCACACGCGAUGGUCGUCCGACAAACAUUCUGAAACCUUCACAAUGACUCACAAAUGUUUCUGAUGCAACAUCGUGGAUGGCAUUACAUCCUUCACAAUUACCUCUUUUGUUAUCUCUUUUGUUAUGUAUUUUGCCUCCUAAAUCAGUAUGUCAAAUAUGUUAAAAUGUCUGUGUAGUCUUGUCUCACAUGUUUUGUACUGUAUGUCAAUAAAACUGUUUAUAUUUUGAACAGAUCUCCUUGAGUGUGAGUUAUGGCACCAAUUUCCACAAGUUGUGGGUAAGAAUGUGUGGGUAUGGAGCCAUGUGCCACUAGUUUCAUUUUAGUCAGACAGCGAGUAACUUCUCAUUUCUGGAAAUCAGCUGUCUGUUUAUAUGAUAUAUGAAGUAUGGCAACAUCCUCCUGAGAUAAAUAUAAGGACAUGAUGAACAGUUCUGAACACAAGGCAGUGUUUUUACUAGCGUUUUACUCUAUCGGGCUUAUCAGGAUAAAACAUUCUAAGCAUGUUUAGAGUAAAAUAGAAAAAAAAACACCAACUUUGAUUCAAACCAACAGGAAAAGACUGGCGAUCACAUCAACAGCUGCUUGUGGUGACAUGCUGCUGUAAACAUUGUUGUUUUGUUUCUGCGACUGAAAUUACUGCUAUCUCUGGUAGUAAAUCACAAUUGAUAAAUUAAUAACAUGCAAUAAUGAUAAAAGGACAAAUAACAUUGUGGGCCUCAAAAAAAGCUAUAUAAAUCAAACUGAACUACUUUCUCUCUAAUAAAGAGCGUAUUUGCACUGUAUCUGCUUUGUCUUUUUUAAACAGUUCCUCAUACUCUAAAAUCAACUGCAUCCUUGACCACAUGGCUCUUGAUGCACUUUAACCUACUGUUCUGCUAGACCUGUUUUGAAGAGGCUUGAAAGGAACAUUUUUGGACAGUUUUUAGGUUUGUAUGAAUCAGAGCGUUACAGUUUAUUUUGUAUCAUCCUUCGAUUAUCACAAUGGUUUGCCAUUUGUUUGUAGGCUAGGCCAUUACAUCCUCAUUGUAGUAUAGAAUUAACUUUUUUCCUUCUAUAACCAGCAGAUGGCGCCAGAAUAUCAUAAUAUAAGUAAUUUAGAGAGGACAGAGUAAUACAAGUGUAAAAGUGUGUAUGGAUGGAUGAGUGAAAUGAAUAAAUUAAUUAAAUAGCCUACAUUUAUUUUUAAAUGUAAAUAACGUGUGCAAUAGGCUAUUAUAUAAGUAUAUAGUAAUAUAAUGUGUAGUACGUAACAUAAUAACAAUAAUAAAUGCACAUUUUAGUUUACAUUUUAGUUUACAUCUUCGUUUCUGUGCUUUUCCCCCUUUUCCAAAUAAACAUGAAAUAGUAAAAACGUAACUUUAAUCUAAUAAUUUUUUUGUAAACUUAAAUAUAUCUCCAAAAGUGAGACAAGACUAGCUGAUAAUUGUCUUCAAAAAAAAAGGCACCGUUUAUGAGAAUUUUAUGAUUUAUUAUCAUGAUGGUAUUUAUGUGGUACGCACUGAAAGAUUACCAUCGUGUUUCAGUGAUAUAUUUGUAAUGUUUUCGUGUACAAUUAUUGUUUAAACACUCCGAUAGCUGUAAAACAUAUUUUACCUGUAGUUCAGAGUCGUCACAAGCUGCAACCUUCGUCAUUCAUACCCGUGCACGUGCUGAAUUUAAAAACCUUUAUCGCUGACAAACGCUAGAAUACAUUUGCGGUUUGUCUGAAUGGACUGGAGGGAGAUAUUCUCUUCAUAACCCGCUACUAUGCUCUCCGACUUCACGGCUUUUUCCAUAGACUCUAUAAAAACAGGUUUUCUCACAAUUUUACUGAGGAGACACUGCGCAUGUCCGAGCGAGCCUCGAUAGGUCUGUGCAACAUCGACCUCUAGAUGCAGCCACCACAUCAAAACUUUCUGAC